GGUGCCACUUUGGAAUUGACAUGGAGUUUCAGAUUGUGCAGUGGGUCUGGAGAGACUUUACGAGAAGGCAUCCAGACCUGAUACAAGAGAAAAGGAAAGAAGUUGAAGGUGAAUGGCUUCAUGGAGACGGGGCAGAAGCUCCCGAGGUGGCAGAAACUCCCAAGCUGCCACAACCACCUCAUCCCUAGGAAGAACCAGCUCCUGCAGUAGCACCACCUCCCCAGCCAGCUCAGGAUGAUGGGGACAUUCUUUUUAUGCUGGUCCAGCAGGUCAAUGGACUGUGCAGGAAA